AUACAGAGGGUGCGAGCGUUAAUCGGAAUUACUGGGCGUAAGGCGCGCGUAGGCGGCUGAUUAAGUCAGAUGUGAAAUCCCAGGGCUCAACCUUGGAACUGCAUCUGAUACUGGUCAGCUAGAGUUUAGGAGAGGGAAGUAGAAUUUCAGGUGUAGCGGUGAAAUGCAUAGAUAUCUGAAGGAAUACCAGUGGCGAAGGCGGCUUCCUGGCCUAAAACUGACGCUGAGGUGCGAAAGCGUGGGUAGCAAACGGGAUUAGAAACCCCAGUAGUCC
rnacentral:rRNA from 1 species